UAAAACAUAACGGCUACAAAUAUAAUAAAAAAUUAUUCCAAAAAAUUGAUACGGAUGGAAACCAUUCUCUAGAUUUUGAGGAAUUCAAGGUCUUCUUCUACCUCACUAGACAGGACGCGUUGAAGAGUUGGAUCUUCAAGGAUAACAAUUGCAGCAGGCUCAAUAACUUUAUAGAAAAGUUGG